GACGAACGCUGGCGGUGUGCUUAACACAUGCAAGUCGAACGGUAAGGCCCUUUCGGGGGUUCACGAGUGGCGAACGGGUGAGUAACACGUGAGUAACCUGCCCUCAUCUCUGGGAUAACAGUCGGAAACGGUUGCUAAUACUGGAUAUGAGCUUGCAAGGCAUCUUGUGGGUUGGAAAGAUUUUUUUGGUUGGGGAUGGACUCGCGGCCUAUCAGCUUGUUGGUGAGGUAGUGGCUCACCAAGGCUUCGACGGGUAGCCGGCCUGAGAGGGCGACCGGCCACAUUGGGACUGAGAUACGGCCCAAACGCCUACGGGAGGCAGAAGGGGGGAAUAUUGCACAAGGGACGGAAGGCUGAUGCAGAAACGCCGCGUGCGGGAUGACGGCCUUCGGGUUGUAAACCGCUUUCAAUUGUGACGAAGCUUUUUGUGACGGUAGCAGUAGAAGAAGCACCGGCUAACUACGUG
rnacentral:rRNA from 1 species